AUGUGCCAUGGAGAAGAUGCAAAGUCACAGUGAUGCUGAGAGGGAACCUAACAAAGUUGGGCAGAUACACAGAAACCACAGCUGAAGGUGAUACUUGUCCUUUCUUUUUUGCUUCAGGAUCUCUGCAUUAUAAUGUGCUGCGGCAAAUUUCAAUGAAUCAUCUGAUCUUGUGUCAGAGCUGGAGUGUUCCCUGUUGUGUUGCCAACCUCCUUUCCUCAACUGACAUUUGAACAUUUUCCAGUAUUCUGGAUUCCUAGAAGAUUCAUCUGUGCUCUCAGUUGAAACAAUACUUAGCACCAAGAGUCUGCUGUGAUUGCUAUGAUUCCUUGCCCAUCCUUUCACUCGUGAAUUGUUGACUUCCCAAAAAGAAGAGCGGUUCUCAACAAGUGGGUCACAGACGAACCUCCCUGCUGAACAAACAACUACUUCAGCCAACGUCUGCCUGCUACCAGCUCCCUCAAGAUGUGAAAAGAGAAUGGUGUGAGUAGCCUCAUUCCUGCCAGGCUGUUUCCUAAGAGCCCUUGAGUGGAAGUACACUGAUGAAACAAUGUAGGAAAUGACAAGUGAUGGGAAUAUGUCACACAGGAGGUCACAGCUAGGAGGCUCCUUGUAUAUCCAGUCACAAAGCUGGAUGCUAGUCCAUUACAUAAAGGGUGCAGAGAGGGAGAGUGUUUGCUCAUCUAGCAUCUAAUAGCUACACCCAGCAGAUGGAGGGCUGGCACAGAAUAGGAAAGGGAACCGGUACCUAACACCUUCCAAUCACUUCCUAAAAACUGUUAAGUCAUCUGUAGACAAAAUGUUGGCCACUGCUGUUUUAGUUAUCUGAAUUACAGGCCUAGAUCAGUAGAAAAAUAAGUUCAAAAUUACUUGGUUGAAGCGAGAUUAUAUAUGAUUGAAAUAAUUUUGCUUAUGAAAUCCCUCUCUGGUGAGGAAGUCAACUCUGUGUGUGUGUGUGUGUGUGU